GACUCCCAGUGGCAGAAGUGAGUUGGAUGAUUGCCCUCAGAAGUCCAGGGAUGGUGGCCCAAAGUGUGUCUGCUAUAAAUUGAAAAGGCCUUGCUUCCUGGAUUGAACUCCGGACCUUGCGCUUGUGAGGCAGGAGGCGGAACCACUGAGGAUCUCACUAAAUUGCUCAGGCAGGACUUGAACUUGGAAUAUUCCUACUUUAGCCUCCAUCAGUGCUGGGAUUACAGGUGUGUGCCACUGUGCCCAUUUUUUUUAUUUAUUUACUUGGGUUUUUUUUUGUUUGUUUGUUUGUUUUUGGUACGGGGGAUUGAACUUGAGUCCUUGCGAUUGCGCAGCAGGCAGCGAAACCACUGAGCUAAAUCCCCCGG
rnacentral:lncRNA from 1 species